CACACACACACACACACACACACACACACGCAUGCGUGUGCGCGCGCGCGCACACACUCAGCCCAGCACAAGAUUUCCCUUUCGUUCUUCCCAGCCAGCCUCUCCCAAUGGCUUACCACAGUCAAAGCUCUCCCUCAUGACUGCAACUGUGUUUUUAUCUGAGCACAGAGCCAAUACUCAUUAUUGAAACCUACUUUCUGCAAUAGACCGACUUCCUUCAGCCGUCUUCUGUUUGCUCGACAAAUCCAGAGCACCUAGUAACAAGCGUCUUGCAAAAUGCUGGAAGUGCAGGAUGAAGAAGGCAGAAACAACCCUGCCCUCCAGGAGCUUACAGUAUCCAGCAGGAAAGAUAAGCAAAAAAGAGAGACAGAGUGCGAGUGGGGAGGGACAGAAAGAGAAGGAGACACAGAAUACGAA